CCUAACUCCAAAUCCUGUGGGCAAAUAAAGCUGUCCAGCACAAGCUGCUACUUCCAGAUUCAGGCUGUAUUGAUGCGGGAGGGGUCUGGCCUCACAUCCCUCAUCCUUAGGCUGCUCUGGACCACCUGACUGUCCCUCUAACCAGAAUGAAGCUCAUCUAAGAGGGCCAUUUCAGAGAGCCCCAGGGACAAUUGGGUUGCUGGGGCUCUGUUAACCCUCUGUUGUCAGCUGCCAAAGCCCUUGACUCUGGAGGGACUAGUGGAGACAGCAUGGUUCCUCUCCACCCAACCUGGAGGGUAAGCCCUGUGUGUAGCUGUCUCCUUGGAGCCCAUCUCACCCUGAUUUGGGGUCGAUGAAUAUGCAGAGAACCUUGAUGAGGUGCUUGCAGCCCUGCCACCCUGCAGGACAGGGUAUUGAUGCUUGGCGAAAGCAAGCGGCCUGGGUGGGACUGGAUUCACACCUUUUCAGAGUCAGAAAAGGCUGCUUCCAUCAGGAAGAGUCUGAGCUGGUGCUCCAGCUGGGCUAGGCUGCUUGGCCUGCUUAAGGUGCCAUAUCCCAACUCAUCCACAGCUGUUAGCAGAGCCAGCAGCUCGAAGAAACGGGGGAUAACAAAAAUAUGUCCUUUCUUUGUGGUCUGGUGCAGCCCUGCAUCAGAUGCCAGGGUUGGUGGUCAGGACACAGACAGGAUUUCAGCUCCCACCUGCCCCUUCUGCUGGCUUCUUUGUGCAGGCACUGGGGACCCAGCUGUGGGCGGGGGCCCUGCCCAUGAGCAAUAUGCCAGUGUGUGUGAUGUGCCAGUUGGUAAGCUGGGUUUUAGAGACCCUUUUGCAAUUUCCUCCAACAGCCAUCAUUAUGUAAUUCAAAAUAAAAACAAUACUGACUCUUUAAAACACAAUCUCACACAAAUGCUGAAACUAAAAUGAUUUUACUUGAGAUGAUUAGACUGCCAAACAUUGGUGUUCUCAGUGAAACUGAACAUUUUUUCAGUUUUGUGGGAGGGGCCUGAGUAAUUAAGUUGCUAAGCCAAUAUUUAGGCUGCCCAUUGGGCAGUCUGCCUUUGCACCCAGGACCCACAGCUGCUUCCUUACCCUGUAAGCGGAUUUCCCAAGCCCCAGGUCCCAUCCUCUGUGUGCAGAACCCCUGCCACCUACCUCCUCGCCCUCCUAGAUGCUCCUGGAUCCCAGCAUCCUGCAGGAGGAGACUAUCAGAAUUGGCUAUCAGAGCUUGUCUGCUUUCCACUUCCCCUCUCAGACUGGUUCCCUGAGUUUGGAGGAACUUUCUGGACUUAAACUUGAGUGCCCCAUCCCAGGAGUGAGGCAGUUUUCCCUGUGCUUUACAUUCAGAGCCCUAAUCUUUUCUAACUCUUUCUUAAUCCCACUUCCAAUAUUCAUGAUCACUCAAUCACUGAACCACAUCCCCAGACACCCCCCCCCCUUUUUUUUUUGGUAUUUUAUUUAGAAACAGUGUCUCACUGAGUUGCUUAGGGCCUUGCUAAGUUGCUGAGGCUGGCUUUGAACUUGGGAUCCUCUCUCUUCAGCCUCCUGAGCCGCUGGGAUUAUAGGUAUGUGCAGCUUCCUCUUGCUAUUCUAACUGGAUGUAUACUUAUCCAUCACAUUUGGAGGGUCAGGACAGUGGAGGAAGUCCAGGAAAUCUGACUCCUUCAUGCUGCUUGGUGGCUUCAAAAUAAUAUAAAAAAUGUUCAUCAUCUCUAGCAAUUAGAGAAAUGCAAAUCAAAAUCACUCUAAGAUUUCAUCUCACUCCAGUCAGAAUGGCAGCUCUUAAAAGAAUACAAACAACAAUAAGUUUUGGCGAGGAUGUGGGGAAAAAGGUACAUUCAUACACUGCUGGUGGGACUGCAAAUUGGUGCAGCCAAUAUGGAAAGCAGUAUGGAGAUUCUAUGAAAAACUGGGAAUGGAACCACCAUUUGACCCAGCUAUCCCUCUCCUCUGUCUAUACCCAAAUGACUUAAAAACAGCAUACUACAGGGACACAGCCACAUGAAUGUUUUUAGCAGCACAAUUCACAAUAGCCAAACUGUGGAACCAACUUAGAUGCCCUUCAAUAGAUGAAUGGAUUAAAAAAAUGUGGCAUAUAUAUACAGUGGAAUAUUACUCAGAAUAAAAGAGAAUAAAAUCAUGGCAUUUACAGGUGAAUGGAUGGAGUUGGAGAAGAUAAUGCUAAGUGAAGUAAGCCAAUCCCAAAAAACCAAAUGCUGAAUGUUUUCUCUGAUAGAAGGAGUCUGAUUCAUAGUGGGGUAGGGAGGGGGAGCAUGGGAGGAAUAGACGAACUCUAGAUAGGGCAGAGGACUGGGAGGGGAAGGGAGGGAAGAGGGGGUUAGCUAGCAAUGAUGGUGGAAUGUGAUGGACAUCAUUACUUAAUACUCCUUCCUUCAAGAGGUGGCUCUUGGUUCUGCUCCCCUAGAGUAUGGCUGGACUUAGGAAGUUGCUCAUUAUGAACAGAACAUGGCUUCUUUCUUGUUUUCUCUUGAAUCUUUCACUCCAGGGGAAGCCAGCUGCCAUCCUGUGAAGACAUUCAAAUGGCCUUGUGGAGAGAUCCACGUGGCAAGCAGCUAUGGCCUCCUGCAAGCGGCCCACAGGGGCAGCCAUGUGAGUGAGCUGCCUCGGAGCUUCAUCUUCACUCUUAGUUACACCCCUCUAACUCAGGCCCCUGCCAACCCUUCAGACAACUGUGGCUCCUGACAACAUGGUGAGUCCUGCUGAACAAUGACCCUGGACCAGACCCAUCACCCAGCUAAACUGCUUCUCAAACUCCC
rnacentral:lncRNA from 1 species